AGUUGAUAAGUUCCGAAGCGGUGACAAAUGAGUCAGUCAGCAGCCGAUCUUUGAGGAAAGCUGAUUGCGAUAGAGAAAUAAUGGACGGCAGAAUGGGUGUGAGUCUAUUGUCGAGGACUUUGGAGAUGAUCUUUUGCAUUCCAUUGAUUAGGCUUAUCGGUCGGAAGUCGAUAGCCUUACGUGCACCUUCUUUUUUAGGGAUGAGACACAUGUAAGAAUAAUCAAGUGGACCGGUAGAUAGUCUGUUGUCAUGGAGUUCAGUGAAAAUGUUAAGUAUAUCUCCCUUGAAGGACUCCUAGAAGGUUUGAAAGAAGAGGGGUGGGAAUCUGUCUAGUCCGGGGGCUUUAUCGCUGCCUCCUCCAGAGUAACUCAGUUGUUAGAUCAUCCGGAUUCGACAGUCUGGCAGAGUGGUAGAGCUUGCUCCAAUCGCCAACAUACUGAAGUCGCUCUUCCGCCUACCCACAUAAGCGUUUAAAAGAGUGAAAGAAAUAGGAUCUUUUUUGUUCUUUAUUGGUGAUUUCCGACCUGGUGUCGUUUUCUAUGACUUCGAUCGAGUUAAAGCGUUUACGUCCAUUAGCCACUGCAUGAAAAAAUUUAGUAUUACCAUCGCCUUCCUUGAGCCAUUGCUGUUUGGCCCUAGUUUUCCAAAGUAUUUCUUCUUUCUCUAGGAUGGACUGAAGUUGUACUUUAAGGUUUGCUCGUUUAUCUAUGGUUUAUUGUGGCAAAUUUAGCUGCUCCUCCAUCAGGUCUAUUGAUUGGAUAUCCUCCUGCAGGCGCCUUUUAGAGUAAGCAAUACUGUGAAAAUUCGUCUUGCACCAUUCCUUAAUUUUUGCUCUGCAGUGCCUGAGCUUAGCAGUUAUGAUGAGAAUGGUCGAGUUCUUGGAGCCUACUUCGUUCCACCAGAUUGGAACUUUUGUGAUAAAGUUCUCCUUUGUUAGCCAGACCCGCUCGAAUCUGAACCUCCGCGGCUUGGGGGGAUGCCCCGUAGUGAGAAGGAUCGGGGUAUUGUCGGAGGUGGUUCGAGGGAGUGUCUUGACUUUACAGUAUGGGAAAGAAAGAUCCCAUUCCGUUGAGAUAAGGAAUCUGUCGAGUUUGGCUAGGGUGGGUCUUUGUUGCAUAUUCGACCAAGUAUAACACUGGCUGGAUAGGGGAAGAUCAAUAGCUGCUAGGCUUUUGAUGAUAUCCGACAACAUGGCCAUGGCUUUGGUCCUCCAAGAGUUUCCAUUUCUUUCAGCCUGGUUUCUGGUGAAGUUAAAAUCUCCGCAAAUGACCCAGUUGUUAGGGCCUUCGGAGAGAGAGAAGUUCGGAGCAUAAGUCUUCUUUUCCACCCCAGGCUGGGGGCCCGUAGACGCUCGUAAGGUAAAAGGAUUUUCCACUAGCCAGGUGAGUCAUAUUAAGGGUGAGCGAGUGCUCCUGCACAAUGACCUCGCUAGAAGAGAAAAGUUUGGAGCUCCAACACAUGAUUAGCCCGCUAGAGGCCCCAGCUGCUGGGUUAAAAUGGCACAAUAUCGAAGAUAGAUCUACAGCAAGAGCGGAGAAAGGAGUAGGGCAUAGAAUCUACUUUAGUUUCUUGAAAACAGACAAUCGAGUAGAAGAGAUGGGACACACAGACUUGAUACAUCGAUGCUUAGCUGGGUCAUUUAGACCUCGUACAUUCCAACUUAGGAUGCUAAACAUAAGGACAAAGAGACAGGACACUCGAGGGACUUUGCAGGCACAGAAGACACUUCUACACUUAGGUUUCAGCACUUAGGAACUUUUGGAGCUCCCUGACUUCAGCAUCGAAUAGUUUCACCCUGCAGAGUUGCUCUUCGCCUUCACUUUUUUCGUGGUCUACUUUCGCGUCGAGGUCCCAGUAGUGGUCGCCUCACCCUCAAUCAGAAGCGCUUUCUUGCGCAUUGCCCUGCAAAGCGUUGAGACCUGCGUCUUGUGUAGCCUAUUGUUGGACCUUGGCGGGCUAGCCUGGACGUCAACGGGGGAGGACAUUCCACCAGUUGCAGUGGGCGAUUCGCGUUGAUCGACUCCAAGUAAAUUCGUAUAAGCAGGCGUCGGUCUGAAUAAGUCUCGUCCAUAUAAAUUGGCGACAUCUACUAUCGAAACACUCAGAAUUUGAGAGAUAAAACGCGCGUCACUGUGAGAUGGGCUACCCGUGGCAGAGCCAACAACAUCCGAGAGCGGGCCUUCAGAUGACCCAAGUUGGAGGCCACAAGAAGGGUCGAGCCGCUAGGCAGACCAAGGUGGGAGAAAACUAGCCCGAAGCCCAGGGAGCUAGACCCGAAAGUAGGGUAAUAGAUGGUUAACCAGUCUUGUGAACUCAAUCCACCUGGGAUGGGUGCGGAUUAGAGGACAGCUGUCCACCACAGAGGUAGGUUGCGGGCGGGAACCAAGGUUGAUGGGCAGAAUCCCCAGAAGUUAAACCAAAGAUCCUUCGUAUAGUUGAAAAAGCCCCAAAAACCGUUUGAGUCAACCAUAGCUAGGUGUUUACCCCUAGGGUGACCCUGGAAACUUCCACUUUCAUGAAGAAAAGAAUUAAUGGCGAAGGGCGAGCCAAGGUCCAUCUGGGAGGGCGCAAGAAGGUUGAGGCCGCCUGGUGGGCAUGUACUUCACACGUCUUCUUUGUCAGAUGGCACGAAAAUGGAAAGUCCAACCGGCGGGAGAUUUGAAAGUAGGGGUUUUUUCGGCGGGACGGCCGCGCUGCAGUCGGCUGAAGGAGGGUUAGAAGGCCGUGCCUGCCACAUGUCCGACCGCCAAGAUUGAGUGGUCAGGCGGCACUAGUCCCCUGUUCGGCGACGGUCAGGGGACGCCGAAGGAGGCGUAGGAGGCGGGGACUUCGAAGGAGGCGUGGGGGGCGGAGGACAGGUGUCAUCGCGAGCCGAGGUCGGCGGGGUCCACCGUAGGUUGGCGGGCAGCAGUCGCCUGUCCGACCUUAGCAGGUGCGCGCUAGAGAUAACCGGGAGCGCCUGCCUCUGCGACGGAGACAGGACGGGAGAGUCAAGACUGGUCGGGGCAUCCUUGGGGACGAUGGCCUUUCUUCUGUCCCAAAUUUCAGAUGAAUUUCAAGAGCCGUCGGAGUUGGAAGAGUCGCCUGCUGUGGAGUGACGUCCUCUAGAAAAAUCAUCUGAACGACUUUCAACUCCAGAGAGUCUCGCGAGAGGGUCGUGUUGGCCCGUUCGCUCCUCUGGGGAGGGAUUGUCAUGGCCAGCGUUCUCGUCGUGGGCCUAUCUUUCCAACUGAAUGAGCACCGAAGUCGACAGGUCUCCGAAAGAGAUUUCUAUGUUCUCCGGAAUAUCAUGAAGAUGAUUGACAGCAACAAGGCAGCGGUAUGUCACGGCACAAAGAUUUUCUCCGCGAUUUCGCUUUGCAAUCACCCGAUCUCCAAAGCGGACAUCUGACGGAGGUUUUGGCUUGGAACCUUCUGGAAGCUUCUACGUGGAUCUCGAGGCUGAUUGGCGCGGAUGCCGAGGAGUCAAGAGUCCCUUGGGGUUUCUAGGUAGCCAUUAAUGUACUUAGAGUUUCUAAGCAUAUUUCCUAUGACUCUUGGGAGACCGUAGCGUACUUAUUGGCCUCCCCUUUUGGCUUGUAGUUUCAUGCCACUUGGCACCUUUUCAUUUGCACUAUGGGCGGCGAGUGGCCUAUAAAUAGUGUGGCCUCCAUCCCUCUCAUUUCAGAAUCUACUAUUGUAUUCUCCAAGUUGAAGUAAUAGAAGAGCUUUCUUCUUAUCUCUCUCUUGUACUUAGUCUAGGGCGAGUGAGGUCCUAACUUAGCAAGUAGAGAGGCAGGCUUGCUCACUUCGCGAAGGAAGGCGAGCGCCGCACGGGCUUUUGCGAGCAAAUUCGUUAAGUCCGUGACAGGUAGCCGGUAAGGUCAACCAUGUGAGUGCUGAAGUUGUCGGCCCUAAUGAAAUGACUGAAGCCGCCGACGAGAGCCGCUAUAGUUCUGUAUUUCCAGCACUCGUAAGGCAGGCUUACCAGUCGUAUCUAGGCUUUGUAAGUCAACGAAGGCUGCCGAGCACCUCUGUAGGGGUCCCAAGGAUAGCAGCAUAAUUUAAGGUCUCCCAAGCUAAGGAUCUCCCUGCAUAGGAGCUGCUCGCAAGGUACCCAUUCUGGCAGGAAGAUGACGAAGUCUCGUUCGCUGUAGUGGGCGACAUGGAAAUCCGAUGGGUAUCCCCCAAAACGAUUGGCGAGGCCGAAGGCUAUGGUGUCCUGGGGGAAAUGGCCCAGGUUAGCUGGGGAAGCCACGUCGAUUACGACAGCAUUGUGUGGGCGGUUUUGGCGAGCGAAAAAAUCUUCGGAGAGGGGGACAAAUGCGCUGAGGUAGGUUGGGCGAGCACGCAUUGCUCGGUAAACAUUCAUCGGCAACUGAUUCAUGCAGUAACGAGCAAAGUGUCCUAAUUUGAAGCACCUUCUGCACCGAAUGGAAUUGCGGCAAGUAAAGACUCUAUGGUCUCGACCCAAGCACCGAAGGCAUUUGUCGGCAAAGGAUGGCCUGCCGAAACUGGGGAGGGAUCUCAGAAGGGAGCGGGGAUGGGAAAUAGCGGGAGGAGCGGGGGAGAGAAGCGCAUCCCUGUACAUCUUCUUAUAAGUAGGAGGGGCAGUGGUGCGCUUUCUCACAAGAUGACCAACGGUCCGUGGCUCGUCCUCGGACCUAGGCUUGACAGAGGCUUGAGCAUUAGAUGAAGUAAUUGAGCUGAGUUAAUGCAAGUGAAGCCAAGUCCGCCCAGAGGACCUUCUUGGAAGAGGAGCAUCCUUCAUCUUCGGGUUGUCGAAGGUAGGUAUCCACAGUAACUCCAAGGGGCCUCUUGAGGAGUUGGAACCUCUGCUCCAGCACAGAGUUCAGGCCGCCAGUAAUAUGGUCACAAGACCUGCCGGUCCUUGCCCCGGGUGCACUGGGAGAGGUCGCUGUUGACGUCGAGUGCUUCAAAAUCGAGGCUACCACCUUCUCCUUACCAGUCCACUUUUCCUCUCGUAUCAUAGGCGCCUUCUCAUUGCAGGUCUUCUCCUCUCUCCAACCAUGGCGCGAGAGCCUUCUCUCUCUCUCGCAUAGUGUCAUUAGUAGAACCUCGCGAGAGUCUUCUCAAUAAUUCGUAAUGUUAGUUAUGAUCUUGACAUAUCAGGAAACUACUUAAAGCAGGGAAUUUACCACUACUGUGAUUUCUAUAUUUGCAGCUUCUCUAGCAUUGGCAAGAAGAAACUCAACUGAUGCAAACAAACUUAUGAACAUUGUGUUAGCUUUGUUAAGAUUAUUAUUAUUAUUUUUGGGAAAACAGUAGGGAGAACCAUCUGCUUCUUUCAUUAAAAAAUAAACUUAGCUACAUAAAUGAAAUAACGUGGCCUGAUCCCAAAGAAGAGAAAAUAGAGUAAGGAUGAGAGAGAGAGGGGAGCAAAAGAGGGGAGAGAGCAAAAAAAUUUACAUGAAUGGCGGCAGAGAAGAGCAACUAGUGACAUAACUCAAAACAAUUCUUUAUGAAAUUCAAAAUACUCAAAAAAAAGGACUUGAACUGGAUUCGUACAACUAUCCUAAAAAAUAAAAAAUAAAGUUGUUCCUUUCUAGCCAGAUUGCCCAUCAUGUGGCCGAGUCUAGUGAGCUUGUUUAGCCUUCUACUAGCGUCCCGUUGUGCCGAUAGCUAGCUUCUCCUAGAGGGGCAAAUGUGAACGUCACUGGACUUUUGAAAGAAUAAAUUUAAUAAUUUGAACUUUGGAGGGAUAUAUUUAUUAUUUAAUAUAUUUACAGGGAGCUGUACGAAUGAAAUUAUCCUUAUUUUAAAUCCCCCUUCUUAAUUAGAGUGCCAUUUAGAUCAUUAGUGGUCGAUUAGCUACAGCAUAAAAUCGAUUUUCUUAUUAAUAUUUCCGUCUCUAUCUCCCGUUUACAAUCAAGGUCUUUCGAGUAAAAGUAUCUUCUCCGGAAUACUUUGCCUUUGUUGUUGAUUUUUCUUGUGAGUUUUAUUGCACAAUAUGAGUUAUAUAGAUUGCAUUUUCUUUAUUGUUGAAUUUUCGUGAGUUUUAUUGCACGAUUUUAAUUUUGAUUUAACUAGCUAAUUGUUGGUACACUAUUUUUAGAUCUCUCUCUCUUAAGUGCACUUUGAACCUGCUUUUGGGUUUAAAGUUUAGAUCUGGGCCAAAUUAUUUCCUUUUGUGGGCUAUUUCCUGCAACUUCAGAUGAAGUAAUCGUUCUUAGGGCUCCAAGUCCGAGCACGCUUUUUAGCACAUUUUUUUUCUUUUUUCCUAACUUGUUGUUGGCUUAAAUGGAUCAACAUCUUACUUUGUGGUUGGAAGGUAGGUUGAGUCGAGACAUGUCUGAAAUGGUAGGAAGCCAGGUUGGGCGCUUUUCCGAUAUAAAAUUUAAACAAAUUGUUUACUAUAAUAAAUUUAUAAUUACACUAAUUGCAUAAAUCUACCAAUUAAAUUCGUAAAGACAAAAGAUGCAUUCUAAUUUUGAAGUUAAAGAGUUACUAACUUGCUUAAAUCUAAUAGAGUAAAAGGUUAAAUAGCAAAAUUAAAGUUUUUAAAGAUUAAAUAGUCAGAUAAAAAAUAGAUGAUAGUCGAGAUAAGUUUCAUAUAUUUUUGCAAAAAAACUUUACCAUUAUAGAGGUCAUUUUCUGUCCAUUUCUCUUCGUUUCUCUUCCUUUCUUUCCUCUAGUUUCAUUUCAAACCAGAUAAAAUUAAGUGUUCUACUUUUUUUUUCUUUUCUCUCCUUCUCUCUCAAUCAAAAGGAGUGUAGAAGUAUUGACCGUCCCUAGCGCAAGCAGCAAAAGGUUUGGUAUUAAUACCCGAGGUCCCAAGUUCGAAUCCUAAUUGAUUCACAUUUCCAGCUAAGUUUAUUUCUAAAUAAAAUAAACAAAACGGAUAGUAUGCUAUCUAUUUCUCUCUCUCGAAAAAAAAAAAAAAGUGUAGAAGUAUAUGGAAUUUCUACUCAGUUUAAAGAAAACCCUACACACCUACUGGUCUAGUGGAAAGCUGUAGACCAAAUCAAAGAUUACACGGCAAUCUCACACACAAAUUACCAAGACUUAAAAAUUGAAAAAUGAAAAAGAAAUAUACUGAGACAAAGUGGCGAAUAAAAUUGUAGAAGAGCUAUGCUAUCUGGAAAAUUUUAUUAUAGAGUAUAAAUUUCAUAUCUGGAAAAUUUUAUUAUAGAGUAUAAAUUUCAUACAUUAGCCUUUCAAAGGCACAUAUUUAUUUACUAGUUUUAUUAAUUUUUUAAUAGUAAAAAUCUAAAAAAGUUUUUAAAUUUUUGGAAAGUCGGAUAUAAAAUUUGCAUCUUAUAAUAGAGUGUACAUGCAACAUUUUUUAUUGUAGAAUAGGUAAGCGGAGAAUAAGGUUUAUUGGAGGGUAGAGAUUUAGUCCUCAAAGGGAAAGAGAGACGUUGACCUAGAAUAUAAGGGCAAUCUGGUUUAUCUAUUGUAGAUAUUAUUGUUUAUCUUAUGAGAAUGUGAUAUCGAUUACUAUUCUAUUCUCGAUUGGAAAUGAUCAAAUUCAUUUAUGAUUCAAUCCUGUCUGAAAUUCUGAAUUGGCCCAUGCCAAAGUUAAACCUUCCGUAAUGGAAAAUUUUUUUCAAUAAAAAUAUAAAGAAUUUAUAUCAACUAUCUCAUAUUUUGAUAUGACUAUUUAAUCUUUAAAAAUUUUGAUUUUGCUAGCUAACCUUUUACUUUAUUAGAUUUAAGCAAGCCUACAACUCUUUAACAUCAAAAUUAGAUAAGUCCCAAAAUGAAUGAAUUCUAGUAUCUCACACUCGUACAUACUUCGUACUUAUAUAUAUUUGCUAAUUCCAUAUAUAUUCUCUCAUCUCAUUCUAUUCUUCAUAUGGAAAAUGGUUUGUGUGAUCAAUAACGAGAAAAACCAAAAGUGGGAAAUGCUAUAUUAAGUCACCAUCCAUCUAACAUAGCACUACUACUCCACAUCUAGUUUAUACUCCAAAUCACUAGAUCACAACAGAUCGAUCAUAUAUAGCAUCUCUUUUCCCUAUCAUCGAGCAAACUAGAUCUCUCAUUAAUGCAUUUGUAAUCAUGAUUAUAUUGACAACACACAUCAAAAUAAUCAUCCGGAAUAUGAGUCACAAAUCGUAGGUGCGCUGUCAAAUUGUCAAAUUAUUUUUUCUCAAAUGCCUUAUGCCAAUUCAUUUCAACUUGAUUGCUUUCCUAUACAUAUUCCAUGGGACCUAAUGAAUCAUGACCUAUGGAUAUUAUGCUAAAGUAGCAUUAUCAAGUAUCUAUUUCAUGACAUGGUUCUAAGUCUCAAAAAAUCCCAAAGGGUACACAAGGCUCACACAACGAUGAAAUAUGGAUUAAUUUUGCCACUUCCUUUUAUAGUGACCGAUUUUACUUAUACAGUACAAAUAAAUGCUAUGGUAGAGCCAUCUCUAAGAACAUGUAACACACAAAAUAUCAUACGAAUGCCAGUUCUAUUACUACUCAAGACAACAAAUCUUAAUAUAGUCAUCCAUAUGGUGCACUCUUCAUAUUCGGCUUUAUACAUGCCAAGUAGAGUCAUGAAUCAUUUAUAUUGUUGAAUUCAAAAAGUUCUAAAGAGGAAAUUUAUUAUCCUUAUGAUUUGUAAGAAAUUAGAUACUAAUCAAAUAAUUAAUACCAUUUUUUACUUUUUCCUUUCUUUUUUUUACUUUCCUUUCUUUCUUUCUUUUUUUUUUUUUUUUUUUUUUUUGAAAGGAAAGAGGUGGUGGGCUCACCUCCUCUGUACGGAUCAGAGGAGGUGAGUCCACCCUCUAUCCUUUUUUUUCUUUUUUUUCUUUUCUUUUUUUUUCUUUUUUUUUUGGAAACAACAAUGAUUUUUUUUUUAUUCUUUUUUGUACACUACAACAAAAAGGAUAUAUAGCGACACUUUUAAAUAUCAGUACAGGUCAAAAAAAGUGCUGCUGGCUAAAUUAUCGACACUUUUAAAAAAUAUUACUAUAUAUGGGGUCGCUAGGUAUAUAGUGAAAGUUAAAGAGUGUCGGUAUAACCUAAAAAAAGUGCUACUAAUUUAUCAACACUUAUUUAAGUAUUUAGCAACCGCCGGAAUUCUAUCUUGUUGGCUGCGGUGGCGGAAGAGGAGGAAAGGGAAGUGCUUUUCGUCUAGGAUUUCAGUGGAUUGAGUGAGGGGAGAAGGAGAGAUGGCAAUUUAUUUUUUCUUUUUUUUUUUCUGUUUGUAAUCGGGCCGAAUGGACUGGGUGGGGUGGGUUGAGUAGAGUAACAUUUUAUUCGACAUUAGUAGAUAUUUUUAAAAACUUUGGUAUAAAUGGGACACUUACACAAAAGUGUUCGAAACAUGUGUUCCUAUAAUCUAAUUCUAUUGUAGUGGUUCUUAUUUUUGAAUUUUCUUUCUUUGUUUGGAACGCAAUUCUAUUUAUUUAUUUAUUUUACCUAAACAAUGACACAAGCCUUCUUUAUUCUUUCUUCUUUCUUCUUUCUCUCUUUUUCUUUGUUUUUUCCUUUUUUUUUUUUUUUUUUUUUUUUUCUUUUUUUUUGGCUCAUAAGGGCCUGGCAAGAGGUUGUUGAGGAAGUUGCGAGUUUCGUGUAUGACUGUCACCUUCCAACUUAAUUUCGUAUGUUUUGUUGGGACUCACAAAUAUUGACAACAUCAAAAUUAGAAUAUAUAUAUAUAUAUAUAUAUAUAUAUAUAUAUAGAGAGAGAGAGAGAGAGAGAGAGAGAGAGUUGGUGCUAUCACUACCUUCCUAGCCGCUUAUUCGUUAAUAUAAUGUCGAAACUUACAAUCAUCAAAAACUUAGUAUUUUUAAAAACACAUAAUCUCAAUUAUAUAUAUAGAGUAGGUUUACUAUACUAUUAUGAGUAUAUAGUCCUUCGUACUCAUAAUUUGUUUUUAAUGAUGGAGCUUGUAAAUCGACGAUUCACUCCACUAAAUAUAAUCUAGAGUACUUGAAACUUCCAAAAAAUAAAUUUCGUAAAUUUUUGAAAUCAUAAUAAAGUCUAUUAAGCGGGUAUAAAGUGAAUGGUCAAAAUUGAACGACAUCCUAAAAAUGAAUGAUCGGAUUUUUCAAUUUAAAAUUGGAGUUAUUGAUUUUUUUCUAGCUAGUGAAUAGAAUUUUUCAUCAAAAAUUCAACCUAUUCUAAUUCUUUUACACCAUUAAACUAGCAAAUAUCCCGUAUCGGCCGCUAAAAAUUAUCAAUUUUGUGAAGUUUUGAUCGUAAAGUAAAUGAUGUCGAAAAAUUAUAAAAUUUAAUUUUUAGAAGUUUUAAAUAUUCUAGAUAAUGUUUAAUGAUAUGGAUCAUUGAUUUCGCAGCUCUAUCAACGAAAACAACUUAUGAGUACGAGAACGAUCGUAUUCAUAAGAGUACCGUAGCCGGACUCUCUCUCUCUCUCUCUCUCUAUACGUAUAUAAAGAGAGAGAGAGUGAGUUGAGCUAGAAUACAUCUAAAAGCACCAAUUCAUUGGUGCUUUUAGAUUUUUAGCCUUUAGAUCCAUCAUUUGACUACUAUUAGCUUUUGGAUCAAAUGAACUAUAUAUUUUACCUACCGCGACUCAACCCAAAUGGGUUACUAUCAUCCUACCCCUACAAUACCUCCAUCUAAGGACUACAAAUUUAAAAGUGUCAAUCUCUUUGUGCUUUUAGAAGUAUUCUAGUUCAACUCUUUCUCUUUAUAUAUAUAUAUAUAUAUAUAUAGAAUUGAGGUCAUAUGCUUUUAAAAGUAUCAAAACAUUGGGACUUGUAGAUUUUUAGCCAUUGGAUUAAAAAAUAUGCAGUUAGAAUGAUGUGGGCCCUCUAGGGUUGAAUGGGUGGUUGGUUAAAUAGUAUAAUCUAAUGGUUGAAAAUGAUCCGUGGAAUAAAUCUAACGGUAAAAAACUUACAAGCACCAAGUGCUUGAUUCUUUUACAAUCAUCAUAGCUGGACUCAUAUAUAUAUAUAUAUAUAUAUAUAUAUAUAUAUGGUUUAUCUUGAUGCUAUUUAAAUAUAGUAUAAAAUAAAGUAUAUUAUUACUAUACUAUACUCAAUAUAUAUAUCAUGAAGUGUUUGAGUGCUCCAAAUAGACAUGGAAAAAAUAAAUGAUCGGUAGACUACGAGACAAAAAUGUAGGUAAACAAAAAAUCCUGUCUAGCCUAAUGAUGCAAACAGAGCGUAUUAUAUCUGGGGAUGGGAUGGGUGCCUAAUGCUUGCUCCAUUUCUUAUGGGAUUGAGGAGGAUUUGGAGCAGAUUAACUUUUAUCCCAAUUUUGACCCUCACUUAUCACUCUAUUCAUGGUGGAUCAGAAUAUAAGAGGACUUUUGGCAGAUCAUCGCAAAUUAAAGGAAGAAAAAGAUCUCUCGUCCCUGCUCCACUUCUUAGCAGAUCGGGGUAGAUUCAAAGCGGGUUACAUCUUUUAUAUUUUUAAUUCCUAUUUACUUUCCUAUUUGGAAUGGAUUAGGGCAGAAACUCCAGCAACCCGAAUCCAUGUACAUCUCUGGUAAAAAAUUAUGACAUGUUUGUUCAUCAAAAGUGGAGGGGAUAAAGUUGUUUUAGGCUAUAAAUGAUUUGCUCUAAAUUAGAUCAACGCUAUUUUUUUUUUAAAAGAAAAUUUGUAAUUGAUUUUACUUGGAUUUUUCCAAAGUUACUUAUGGAAGAGAAAAUAAUAAAAAAUUAAUGAAAAAAAUUAAAUAUUGUAAUUUUUAUCAUUCUCUUUAUACACUAUAUAAAGAUGGUUAAUAAAAUUAAAAAAAAAUUAGGACACAUAAUUUUGAAGUCAUUGACUUUCUACCCAACAAAAUAGCGAAAAAAUAACUUUAUUUCAACAAAAAAUUAUUUUCAAUCUAAAAUUUAUUAGGGGAUAUUUCAUAACAACACGUCACUCCAAACUUCGAAUGUUCCGUAACUGCAAAAAAAACGACGCAUUAAUUUAGACCCCUCAACGACCCCCCAACGAUCCCCGAGUUACGUGCACGUGUGCUUUUGAGUGUAGUGUUGUACAUGCUUAUAUGUUGAGUACACAAUAUUUUAUGUUUAGCCUUUUUUUGAGAUUGCGGAAAAAUUGCGUUACGUGUGUUGCGUUACAUGCGGUGAGAAAUGACGAUGAAAAAAAUAUACUAUUUGUUUCCGUACGUAAUAUUACAUUCCGUAUAUUGCGGCUAGUAGAUUACGAUAUAUUAAUAUUGCGUUCCGCAUAUUGCGGUUUAGUAUGUUACUAUAUAUUUCUGCGGUCCCAUAGGAGAACACAGAAGUAUAUCUCUUAUAUGCUUUUUCUCAACUCCAUUCUAUCUAGUAGCGUUAGAUCUAUCUCAAUACCAAACUAAGCCUUAGUAUUUUGCUUUAAAAUUAGAGUAGCCAUAGGAGAACACAAAAACAUAUCUCUAUAUGCUUUUACUCAACUCCAUUCUAUCUAGUAGCGUUAGAUUCACCUCAAUACCAAACUAAGCCUUAGUAUUUUGCUUUAAAACUAGAGUAGGGCUACAAUAUUUUUAGCGUAUAGAUUUUUUUUAUAUUUAUAAAUAAUUUUUUAUGAUAAAGUUUUCAAAUUAACUAUCCUUAUUGUCAAAUUAAUAAACCUAUAAAAAUUGAUGAAAAAAAUAUAAUUUCCAUGAGAAAAAAUAUAGUACUAGAUAAGAAAAUGAAAAUAAAUCUAACAUACAGUGCAUCUGUUGAUAAAAUAUGGUUAUAUGAUUGUAUACUAGCCUCGCUCUAUAUACCAUUUUUUCAAUUAUGUAACUUUCGAAUCGACGAUAUCGGCUCCAUUAGUCUUGAUGUACACUAUUGAAAAUACUUGGAAACUAAAUUUUAUAAUUUUUCAACAUCAUUUACCUAUCAAACAUGCAGUCUAAAAAUGAACGGCUGUAAAUAAAAUCUUCAUAAAAAAAUAAUAAAAGAUUUGAAUUUAAAAUUAGAUGUACCGAUCUUAUUCAAAAUAGUGAAAAUAAUUUUCUAUGAAAAUUUUAUUAGAUUAGAUUGUUUUAUAUCGUUAAAUUCAAAUCUUUUAUUAUUUUUUUAUGAAGAUUUUAUUUACAGCCGUUCAUUUUUAGACUGCAUGUUUGAUAGGUAAAUGAUGUUGAAAAAUUAUAAAAUUUAGUUUCCAAGUAUUUUCAAUAGUGUACAUCAAGACUAAUGGAGCCGAUAUCGUCGAUUCGAAAGUUACAUAAUUGAAAAAAUGGUAUAUAGAGCGAGGCUAGUAUACAAUCAUAUAACCAUAUUUUAUCAACAGAUGCACUGUAUGUUAGAUUUAUUUUCAUUUUCUUAUCUAGUACUAUAUUUUUUCUCAUGGAAAUUAUAUUUUUUUCAUCAAUUUUUAUAGGUUUAUUAAUUUGACAAUAAGGAUAGUUAAUUUGAAAACUUUAUCAUAAAAAAUUAUUUAUAAAUAUAAAAAAAAUCUAUACGCUAAAAAUAUUGUAGCCCUACUCUAGUUUNUAUAUAAUAUAACAAAUAAAAAUAUAUCGAAAGUAGAGUAUAAUAGAGUGUAAUUAAGUCAAAGUAUUGCUAGCAUAAAGUGAACACAGAGGUUAUCUUUCUUACAAUAUUUUUGGGUCCGGCUCCAACUGUUUAUUUAUUGUGUUGUAAUAUUUUACUAUUAAAAUAAAAAUAAAAUUUUCUUGGCCAAUUUGUAUAAAGAAUUCACUAGUUUUGCACUUUUGCAAAAGUAUGCCACAUUUUUUUAAUUUUACAGAUUCGGACUAGAUUUUUAGCAAACUGACCAAAAUACCCUUAUUACUUAUCCUCUCUCCUCUUUUGUUUACUCUUGUUUUUUUUUUCUCUCUCCGAAGAAGGCAGCGGAGGCUAAGGCGCGCGGAGGCGGAAACAACCCGCCUCGCCUCUGCCCUGCAAGCCCUCGAUCGCCCUCGCCCGUGCACCCCCGCCCUCCUCGCCUUCAACCCUACUGAGGCCGCGCCGCGACUCUCCUUCUCCACUAUGGCACGGCGACGUCGAGGCGCAGGCUCUGCUCCUCCACCACGCGUCGAAACGCCGAGACGUCGUCGGAGGCAGCGAGAUUGCCUCAGACGACGUCGCGGUGGUUGCGAUAGAGAGUAGGGAAAAAGUGGUGAUAAAAAAAAAAUUAUAGAGAAAAGAAUAAGAAUAAUAAAAAGUAAAAAUAAAAAAUAGUUUUUUUCCUACAGAAAAGAUCAAAAAAUAUAGAAGAAAUAAGAAAAUAAUGAAAUUGCACUAUUAAAAUAAGAUUACACUUUUUUAAAAAAAAUUUGCACUGCUUUGAUAAAAAAUUACACUAUUUUAUAUAAAAAUUACACUCUUUUGAAAUAAAUUUUACACCCUUUAGACCAAAUUUGUACUAUUUAGAAAAAUUUUGCAUCAUUUUGUUUCCCUUUCUUUUUCUCUUCUUCUUCUUCUUUUUCUUCCUUUUCUCUUUCUCUUUCUCUUCUUCUUCUUCUUCUUCCACCACCCUCUCCUGGGGCAGCGAGUUCGACAUCAGCGGACCUCAUCCUCGGGCAGCGGGUUCGACGUCAUCAAGUGUGCCGCCUCCGUCAUGGCGUAUGCCUCCAGCACCGGUGCGUCCAGUGCCGCCUCUAGGAGCGCCAACACUGCUGGGGCCAGCAACGCACUGCAGUUUCACACGAACCGGAGCUGCAGGUAAGCCCUCUCUGGCUCUGGCUGCGCCGCAUGCCGAUCCAACAGGAACUGGUAGACCGUCAGCACCACAGUGUACCACGUGGCGCCUGCCGCGAGCAUCUCGCCCUAGAAUGCCGACGCCGAGAAGCGCCCCUCGGCUGGGAGCGCCGCGGCGCCGCCCGCGGCGAGCAAGCUAAGCAGUGCCGCGGCGAGCAAGCUAAGCAGUGCCACGACGAGCCCAUGGACGUGGAAGAGCAGGAGCACCACCACGGUCGCGUCCGACUCGCUAUGCCGAUACACGGACCGGAUGUUGUUGAUCGACGCGGCCAGGUUGAGCUGGGUGAGCGGGACCCCCUUGGGGACCGGCCUGCAUGCCGCCAGCCCCUCCUCCGCCGCCGCCAUCGUCGCCUCCCCCGCGCCCUCCUUCCCCUCCGCCGCCGCUGCGAGGUUGGCCUCCUUGACCACGGUGACGAUCCGCGACUCCAGGCACCGAAUUGCUGCAAGAAACUUGGAGGAGGAAGAAGAAAAAUAGAAAGAGAAAUAUUGUAAACUGAAAGAAGUAGAGGAAGAGAAAGAGAAAUAGUGUAAAUUUCACCUAAAUAGUGCAACAUUGUUCUAAAGAGUGUAAAUCUGAUAAUCUGAUCUAAAGAGUGUAAUUUCUGUCUGAAAAUAGUGCAAUUUUCAUUUAAAAUCGUGCAAAAAAAAUUUUAAACAGUGUAAUUUUAUUUUAACAGUGCAAUUUCAUCUUCUUCUAUAAUUUUUGAUCUCUAUCUCUUUCUUUUUUUCCUUCUUCUAUAAUUUUUUUGUUCACGCCUCUCCGCCAAUGGCCACGGCGUCGUUGCCGCCGCCGCCGCUAAGAACCCCCCACUCCGAGGUUGCGUCGCCACAGCGAGGUUGCGGCGUUGACGUCGUCGGAAGUGGCAGAGGAGCAAAAAAGAGAGGGCGAGAAGGUCGGGGAAGGGCAAGAGAGGGUGAGAGAGGCGUCGUCAUUGGAGGCAGUGGAGGAGGGUCAGAGGAGAAUAAAAAAAGAGUCGUGACGCGAUCUCGGCGGGGUUGGAGGCAAGGAAGGCGCGAGGUGUGCAGGCGAGGGCGAAGGCAUGAGGGUGAGAGGCGAGGCGGGCUGUUUCCGCUUCCGUCUUUGCCUCCGCUGCCUUCUUUGGACAGAGAAAAAAAAGAGAACGAGAGAAAAAAAAAGAAAGAGAGAAAAAGAUAUAAGGGUAUUUUGGCCAGUUUGCUAAAAGUUCGGACCGAAUCUACAAAAUCGAAAAAGACGACUUAGUUAACUUAUUUCUAUAACUCCCAAUAUUAAGUUUGUCACUAAAUACUUGUAACUUGUGAUAACUUAAUUCUUGUAACUCCUAAAAAUAUGAAGCCUAUAUAUAGUCAGGUAUAUAUGGAAGCUUCUCUAUUCUUUGAACAUAUAACGAAAAUAAUACAAUUCUAUUUUCACUAUCUCUAUUCCACUUGAUUGAGAGAAACCAAAAAAUGUGUUCUUUGUUGGUAGAGUUUUGGACUCAUCUACUGAUGCAGAGUUGAUGAAUCAGUACAAUAAGAGUCGAACCAUUGUAUAAUGAAUGGGACAAGUAGGUAUUAUAUUACAUCAGUUUAAGGAGUUUGCCAACUGCGAAGGGCUUUAAUCUCUUCUUAAAAAAAGUGGAAAAAACUUCAAAAACCCUCCCUGUGGUUUUGUACUUUUUCAUUUCAGUACCCUGUGGUUUAAAGUAUAUCAAGUUAGUACCAUGUGGUUUCUCACUUUCUCACUUUCUCACUUUCUCACUUUAGUACUCUGUGUUUUAAAGUGUAUCAAGUUAGUACCUUCUGGUUUUAUUUUUGUAUCAAGUUAGUAUCCUGUGAUUUUUUAAAUCACAGGGUACUAAAGUGAGAAAGUGCGAAACCACAGGAUACUAAAGUGAGAAAGUGCGAAACCACAGGAUACUAAAGUGAGAAAGUGUGAAACCACCGGAUACUAAAUUGAUACACUUUAAACCACAUAGUACUAAAGUGAAAAGGUGCAAAACCACAUAGUACUAACUUGAUACACUUUAAACCACAGGGUACUAAAAUAAGAAAAAGUGAAACCACAAGGGAGGUAUUUGAAGUUUUCCCAAAAAAGUGAGAUUUUUGCGUCUCGACUUGAUCAACUCGUCCACACUUUUCAUUCUUUUGUAAUAUAACUUCUAUGUUUGUACAUUUACACCACAUAUUGUUACUAAAUGGUCCAAAUAUAAUGUCCUUCCAGUUGUGGUCUAUAAUAGUAGAUCAUUUGAAAAGUGAUACCGAUUAUCUAGUAUCCAGAGGAGACAUUUUUGUCUUUUGACACAUAAAUCAGUAGGCUCUUGGUCUAACAUUAAAGAAAAUGAGAAAUCCCUGCAUGCUAGUGCGAGAAAUCUCUCUCCUCUCAGUUCAAACAGGCUAUAUAUAGUUGAAGGGGUCUCUUCAUAUUUUAUGGUCAAAAUUUAUAUAUUUUGUCCUAUAAUUAAAUUGUACCUAAUUAACGGACCAGAUUUAUUUAAUCAAGAUUUAUUUGAUUUAUUCUACUAAAAUAUUAUGGUCAAGGUAUCAUGUAACUUUAAAAUUUAAAUUGCAUGGUUUAAAUAUAAAUUGUACAAUCUAGAUUAUUUCUUUUAAGAUUUGUUUUAUUAUUCUUCUAAAAUUUUGCGGUCCAUCUAAUCUAUUCUAAUUUUAAAAUUUAAAUCAUUUUUAUAGUCUAGAUAUAUUUUCUUCGCAUUAUCGAUUUAUUCUAUGAAAAUUCUUUGAAAUUUAUUUACAACUUAAAUUUUAAAUUAUAAUCUGCAAUCUUAUUAUUUUAAAAGAUCAAUUUUUACUAUUAAAAUUUGAAUUAAUUUAGCCCAUGCAAUUUUAUUGUAAGAAUAAAAUUUAAAUUAUACCCCUAUAUUCCUAUCGAAUCAAAUAUUUUCCUUUUACUAUUAGGAUUCAAAUUAACAUCUUCACGAGUAAAAUAUAUUGAAGUUAAGUUUUCCUUAAAUAAUAGUUAUACUAAUAUAUUAUUUUAUCCUAAUUACUUAAUAAAAAAAAUUUAAUAUUUUUUUAGAUAGUACUGCAAACUGCAAAACCUAUGUUUAAUUUCUCUUGCAAAUUUAGAUAAUUAAACGUGAGAACUGAGAAAUAGGUUGAUCCGACUUUCAAUUUUUAUUACUUCUCUAUGUAUUAGAAUUGAAAAAAUAAAUAUGUUAAAGCUUCACAAGAUUAAUUCUAUGCAAAACAUAUGACCAAAAUUGCUGCAUAAUUAGUAAUUUCAUUUGAAGAGAGGAGUUGUGAGCCCCCAGAUAGUCUUACAUAUAAGAUAUAAUAGAUCUAAAACUCUUAACCCGACUUAAAGAUUUUCGGUGGUGGAUAGGGCCAAAAGGUUAAGAGAGUUAAGCGUGUUAGGACGAAAGUAGUUUUAGGAUGAGUGACCUCCUAGAAAGUUGGGGCGUCACAGUUGGUAUCAGAACCAAUUACCAACCGAAAUUGUGAGAUAAAUUUUGGCUGAGUCAGGAUCGGAAUGACAAGGUUAGCGAGACAAAUCUCACAUCGUCUGAUACUUGUGAGUCUGAGCCUGACGAGAAUGUCAAGGCUUAAAGGGAGGAGAAUGUGGGCCCCCCUAUAUAUAAGAUAUAAUAUGUCUAAAACUUUUUACCCGACUUAAAUAUUUUGGGUGGUGCCUAGGCUCAAUAAGUUAAGAGAGUUAAGCGUGUUUAAGACGAGAGUAGUUCUAGAAUGGAUGACCUCCUGAAAAGUUGGGGCGUCACAGGAGCCCUCUCAAUUAUUUGGGAAAGUGUAUGAGUUUUAAUUGCAAAAACUAAAGCUUCUAGAAAACUUGGAUUGCAUAAUAUCAACAAAACUUUUAAUCAAGGAUUUAAGUGCCGUGGUACAGAAUCGCGCCAAAACUUGCCGGCAUGGUGUGUGUUCUACCGUGUCGAUACGUGUCAAUCACACAAAAUUCAUGUAUGCCAAUACAAAAUAGUAUAAAAUAUUUAUUUUCUUCAGUAACAAAAUAUUCUAACUAUUUAUUAUAUAUUUUUAUUAAAUAUUUUGAAUUUUAUUUAGAAAAUUAUUUAUUAAUUCAAAGAAUAGAGGGUUUUGAGCUGUGUCAUCGACACGAAGCUGUAUCGUGUUGAUACGAUAUUUCGUUGGCACGAUACGGUACGAUAAAUGCAAUUUAUGUAGAUGGACACUUAAAUCCUCGCUUUUAAUCACUUUCAGUGGAAAAAGAUUUCUUCAAUGGGUCACCCACUGAAUCACCCCAUAAACUAAUUAAAGUGUUAAUUUAAUUUGGCUUAAGAAGACAAUAUUUAAUUUUGUUACGUUGAUCCGUUCUCACUUAAUUUUGACUCGAAGUCACCUCAGUAAUGAACUAGUAGGUGAUUGAGAUUGCGAGUAGAGUGCUUGUGAUGACCCGAUCCGUUAGCAAUAAUAAUUUAUUGAAUCUAAACCAUCAGCUCAAGAUACUUAAGUUUAGUUUUUAUUAAUAGCGUGUAAGUUUCAUAUAUUCUAAUAAGCAUCAAUUUUUUCAUCCAAUGUGAGACUAUUGAGUGUUACAGUGCAUCAGAGCGCACGGAUACGGAAAAAAAGUGUAUAUAUAAUGUUUAUUUCUAUAAGUGAUAAAAUAUUAUCCAAAUCGUACUGAUUUGAUCAAGAUAUGAUCAAGUUAUGCCAGUCCCGUCAGAAAAUAGUGAAGUAUAUAUUUACAAUGGAAGUGAUAACUACACACUACCAUACUGUACUAAUUUGGUGCUAUUUUUAUGGCAUAUAAUUUUUUUUAGAAAGCAAUAUUAUAUGAUUAUGUUUUAUCGAACUCUACACUGUAAACUCUACACUGUAUUUUAAAUUUAGUUUUCUUUUUCUAUCUUGUUCUAUUUUUUUCUUCGUGCAUAUUACUAAACUAUUUUUUCCUCGCUAAUUUCUAUAUUAUCAUUAACAAAUCUAUUAUUUUAAACAAAAUCAAACUACUUUACUAAAAGACUAGUUAAAUAGUAAAAAAAUAAUAAAAUAAAUUUUCAUGAUAACAUUGAAAUUUUUAUUAAAUUAUUUUCAAAUUUGUUUUUAUCAUUCUUAUAAAUUUUUUUUUUUUUUUGUAAAAGUGGUUACUAUAUAUAUAUAUUAAUAUUGAUAUAUAUAUAAUAUAUAUCUAUAUAUGCUUUUGCACUUUUAAUAUAUUUUAAAUUGCUUCAUAUGAAAUUAUAAUAUUUAUUGUAUUCGUGUAGGAUUGAAAGAAAAAAAAAAAAAGAAAAAAGAAAAAAAAAAGAUAUUUGAAUGUUGCCUUAAAAAAAGGCUAAAUUACAGAAAGCCUCCCUAUCAAAAUCUGAUUUUUCUCUUUCCUUCCCUGUUAUUUAAAAACUUACAUUUUGCCCGGCCCCUUCUAAAAUGAAAAAUGUUCACUUCAUCCCUACCGUUAGUGAUCUGUUAGUGUUCCGUUAUAAAUAUUUUUAUGCCAAAAAUACCCACCGCCCUCUAUUGUGUUUCGUCCUCCUCUGCCUCGCCGCCUCGCCCUCCUUUACUGCCUCGCCCUCGUCCACAUCUCCGUCCAUACCCACAAACACCCUCUCGCCCUCCUCCGCUGCCUCGCCUUCGCCCUCGUUGCCCUUGCCUAUCUUUCCAUCCACGCGCACCUCGAUUUCCUCCCUACUAUCGGCAAAAUGGAGGGGCGACGAGGGUGCCAGAGGAGAAGGGGAGCAGGUGGAGAAGAAAAUGGAGAGGAAUCGCGGACGAUCGAGGCGCGAACCGCGGCCGAUCAAGGCGGCGGAUGAGCAAGAUGAGGGAGUAGACAAAAAUGGUGAGGGGCAAAAUAGUUAUUUUGUAAUCACAUUUCACACCGUACCCCCCCUGUGAACAUUUUUCAUUUUACAAGGGAGUAAAGUGUAGGUAUUUGAAUGACAAGGGGAAAAAAUGAAAAAUCGAAUUUUCACAGGAAAGUUUUAUGUAAUUUAACCUUAAAAAAAAUAGUAUAGUGUACGUAGAAAGUAACACCUCCUUAAUUGGUGUUUCUAAGUUUUUAACCCUUGGAUCCACUCCUUGAUUACUAAUACUCUUUGGAUCACAUACUAUUCCACCUACCACCACCUACAACCAUUAUCCCAACGCUAAAUUUCUUCAUCCAAAGGCUAAAAACUUAAAAGCACCACCUCUUUGGUGCUUUUGAAAGUAUUAAUUCUAGCUCAACUCUCUCUCUCUCUCUCUCUCUCUCUCUCUCUCUCUCUAUAUAUAUAUAUAUAUAUAUAUAUAUAUUAGUAGAGCUUAAAUACUAUUGAUAGUACUAGAAUAGUAUUUAUUAUCAACUUUUCGACCAUUUAAUUAAUGCCUGAGGUUUAGUGGGGUUUGGUGGAUUAGUAAUAAUCUAAGAGUGAAAAAGUUGAUAAUAAAUACUAUUCAUAAACUAUUAGUAGUUUACUAGCUCAAAUAUAUAUAUAGAGAGAGAUACUCUUAUGAGUACGAAUGCUCUCAUACUCAUAAGUCGUUUUCGAUGAUAAAACUUUCGAAUCGACGAUCCAUAUGCUUAAAUAUUAUCUAAAAUAUUUCAAACUUCUAGAAAUCAAAUAUUAUAAUUUUCGACAACAUUUACCUUACGAUCAAAAGGUCAUAAAUUGGCAUUUUUAACGACCGUUAUGAAAUAUUUACUAGUUUAACGGUGUAAAAGAAUUGGAAUAGAUUGAAUUUUUAAUAAAAAUUCUAUUCGCUUCCUAGAUAAAGAUAAAUAACUCCGAUCUUAAAUUAAAAUAUCCGAUCAUCCAAUUCUAGGGUGUCGUCCGAUUUUGGCUAUUCAUUUUAUGCACGCUUGAUAGGCUUUAUUAUGAUUUGGAAAAAUUACGAAAUUUAUUUUUUAAAAGUUUAAAAUACUAUAUAUCAUAUUUAAUGGAGUGAAUCGUCGAUUUAGAAGCCCCAUCAUCGAAAACAACUUAUGAAUACAAAGGGUUCUAUACUCAUAAAAAUAUAGUAGCCUAUAUAUAUAUAUAUAGAGAGAGAGAGAGAGAGAGAGAGAGAGAGAGAGAGAGAGAGAUUUAGGUUGAUAUGCUAUCGAUAGUACACAUGCCUCCGUACUACUAAGUUAUUUUCAGUGAUGCGGCUUUCAAAUCGACGAUCGGUUCUUUUAGACUUGAUCUAUAUUAUUAAAAGUAUUUAAAAACUAAAUUUUAUAAUAUUUUGACAUUAUUUACAUAUCAAACGAGUAAUUUAAAAAUAAACGAUUGAAAAUAAACAAUCUUUGGUUCGGGUUCGGCAAUAAUUCGGUUUAAAUCAAACAGUUCUCGCUCCGUAGAAUAUUAGGCGGUCCUCGUAACCAAAGGGGCCCUAUUAAGUCAAAUAGUCUCUUUUUUCUUUUUCUUUUUUUGCUUUUUUUUUUAAGAAAAAAAAGUGAAUAGAGAAGUCCUAUUCAAGGGUACAUGUAAAGUAAAGAGGAGUGAUAUAUGGAGCAAGCAAACAAAAGGAAAAACAAAGGUACUGUACAGAGCAUCUAAGUCAAUAAAAAUCAGCAGCUAAGUCAAAGAGAAGUACAUUGCCACUCCUACCCCUCCUAGAAGGGAUUAUUAUAUUAUAUACAUAGGUAGUUGAAAUUUCUUGGACCCUAGAUAUGUUGUAAUAUAUAUAUAUAUAUAUAUAUAUAUAUAUAUAUAUAUAUAUAUAUAUAUAUAUAUAUAUUAGAUANUAUAUAUAUAUAUAUAUAUAUAUAUAAUUGAGCUAGAAUAUUUUUAAAAAUAACAUUUUGGUGCUUCUAAGUUUUUAAUCUUUUGAUCUACUUCUUGAUUAUUAACAGUCUUUGGAUCAAACACUAUUUCACCUACCACCACUUACCACCAUCUAAUACCAUCAUUUCAGCCCUAUAUUUCUUCAUCCAAAGAUUAAGAACUCAAAAGUACCACCUCUUUGGUGCUUUUGGAAGUAUUCUAGCUCCACCAUAUAUAUAUAUAUAUAUAUAUAUAUAGGCUGGGGCUACUAUAUUUUUAUGAGUAUAGACCCCCUUAUAUUCAUAAAUUUUUAACUGUUGAUUGAUGGGAUGUAUGAUUAGGAUGGUGGUGGUCCCCGCUUAGAAUGAUAGUGGUCCCCUAGGGUUGAGUGGGUAGUUGGUUUAAUAGUAUGAUCCAACGGUUGGAAAUAAUCAAUGAAAUAAAUAGAAUGCUUAAUAGAGUGCACUCAUAAUUUCAAGAGAGCAGAAAUCUUUGUUUGCACUUUAUGUAUACUAAUAUUUUAUACACUGCAAAAAUAUAUUAAAUAAUUGAUAAAAUAUCUGAUAAUUAGUAUUGUAAAAUAUAAAAAAAAUAUGAUGUAUUUUUUAUAGCCGGUUUACGAUGCACCGGAUGCAUCCAAAACGCCUGUGAGCUAUAUGGCAAGCUCUCGUUGGUUGUUGGUACAAGUGAAGAUCGUUCGUACGAACCAUCAAUUUAUAUUAUCUUAUAGAUAGAUACCUUUUAUAGAUUAUUAUAGAUAUGAUCCAUUAAUAAUUUCCUUGUCGAGAAGUCUCAAAAGGGUAUUGGGACAGUUGAGAUAUUGUCCCAGGAAGCAAGGGAAACAGCUUAACCAAAAAGUAGCUCACUCCCCACCCAUCCACAAUUUCCCACCUUCCCACAUCUUUGUUUAACACCCUCAAGCUACCCCCAUCAACCCAAGCGCAUGCUUAUUUAUUGCCCUUCAGUCCUUGUACACUCUCCUCUCCCCUCCAAUAUUCCCCUGCCAAUACACCAAAUUGAACACAUUGUGCUUGUUUUGCCAUGGCUAAGGCUUUGAGGGCUUGUGUGUUCUUGCUAAGGCUCUUCGCGGCGGCCGCGACGCUCGUCGCCGCCGUCGUCAUGGCGACUAGCCAUGAGACCACCUCCUACUUUGGUUUCACCAUGGAGGCUAAGUUCCAAUACACAAGUUCAUUUGUGUAAGUAUAUAUAUAUAUAUAGUUUUCGUUGUUGUAUUGUAAAUCUCACCAAGAGGCUUAAUUUGUACAUGAUGUAGGUUCUUUGUGAUAGCUAAUGCCAUAGCAAGCGGGUACAGUUUGCUGGUUCUCUUGAUUCCUUCCACAAGCUCUUUCUCGAGAUUGGUCAUUGCGACCGAUGUGGUAAGAGUUUCUCUUUGUAUUCGUCACCGGAGCACAUCAGAAGUAAUCUUAACAUUUCUGCUCACGCACAUCAGGAAACACACCUUAAGUAGCCAUUCGAUCUGGGGAAUUGGACUCGGUGACCAAUCGAGGACUAUGGUUUAGCAGUAAUCUUAAUUGUGCUGAUCAUGUUGACAUAUUAGCCACUAGCUAGCUAGCUAGCUAGCUAGGGGCCAUUUGAAUCAAUGUAAUUGCAAUUCGGCCACAAGCCAGUUUUAGUUAAAAAUAGAAAUGUACUAAUGACUCGCUUGAUUGAUCACCACUGCUCGUUAAAAAUUAAGUUCCAAAUAUAUUUAAUUUGAAACUUUUCAACGAAGGAAUUGCGGAUACUAAUUAAGUAUUCUAAUCAUUCCUUUGAGUUUUUUUUUUUUUUUUUUUUUUUUUGAAGAAAAGAUAGUAUACUAUCUGCUUCAUUCAUUAAAAAUAUCAAUUAAGCAAUAUGGAUGAGGUAAAAAAAUCUCCGCAGAAGUAAGAAGCAAGAAGCAAGAAGCAAGGAAGAAAAAAAAAACUAAGAAUGUUUGCUUUUAGAGAAUAGAAUAAUCUUUCACUGAAUUGCGAACGUCUUGAUCUUAACUACCAUCGUCAGAGAGUAUGCAUAAACAUUUCUAAAUAUAGCACUAUUCCUUGAAUCUCAUAUGACCCACCAGUAGGCUAUCAGACUGGUUAAUCUAUAGUUACGUAUACUAUUCCUUUGAGUUACAACUAAUCUACAUUUAAGUACGAUUCAAACACAUCUACUCAAAACAUUUCCCAUCUUAUAAUAUAUAUGUAGAUCAUAGGAAUGCUACUCACCAGUGCGGUGGCGGCGACGGGAGCGCUGUCGGAGCUGGGGAAGAACGGAAAUCAGCAUGCGGGAUGGCUGCCGAUCUGUGGGCAAAUACACGAAUUCUGCAACCAUGUUAUGGGAGCUCUCAUUUGUGCCUUCGUCGGUCUCCUCAUCUACCUCCUCAUCCUUUUCCAUACUUUCUACGUUGUGAUCAACCCUCUUUUCCCAUGAGUUUUCUUUCUUUCCCCCUUUUCUUUUUUUUCUUUGAACACGCGGUCUUUUUACCAUAUACUAUGAAAGAUCACGUACGUGUCUCAACGUCCUGUUAGGAACGGCAAGUUCCAAAUAUAUAUACUUAUGUGGUUGCAUGUUUUUACCAAAUACGUGAUAAAGUACAUGCAAACUUAUAAAAGUUUCAGUUUAAACUUAUAUUGCGGAAUUUAAUUUUCAGUUUAUUUUAAUAAUUGUGAUGCCUACUUUUAAAUUUGCAAUUUUUUAUAAAGUAGGAAAUAAUGUAAAGAGUACUGAUUCGAUCAAAAUCUGAAAGAUAUAUGACAAGGCAAUGACCGAUAUAACUAGGGAUGCAAAGGGGAAGGAUCCGGAAGGGGGAGAUGUCUCCCAUCAUUUGCUUCAUUUUUUCUUUGUCAGAUCGGAACGGCUUCGUGACGGAUUAAUUUUGACCGUAUUUUUUAUCUCCACUUAUUGCUCCAUUCGGAGCAGAUCAGGGCUGGAACAUAUUUUUAUUUUUAAUAGAUUGGGACGGAUCUGGGUGGAUCUGGGGCCUCCCUCUCCAUUACACGACGAAUCUGUGUGAAUUUGGGACAAUUAUAUUUUUCUAUAUGUUUUUUUUCCACUUACGGCUCCAUUCAGGAUGAAUCAGGGCGGAAGCUCCGCCAACCCAGAUCCAUUUGCACCCUUACUGGUAAGCUAAUUUAAAUAUGGUGACCUAAGUGAAAUUUCAUCAUUGACAAAAGUGUAAUUUACCCAAAUUUGUUUUGUGGUGAGUGUAAUUGCUUCUCGUAAUCUUCUCUCAUAUGGUCACACAUGUAUCUACUAUAGAGCAUAGAAGGACAAAGAGCCAGUAGCUAUAUGCAAUUAAUGUGAUGUACAUUCCCUUGUUAGUGGGUAUUUGGUUUCCCCGAAAAGUGUGGAAAAUUAUUUUCCACCAAUAACUAUUUUUCAAAAAAAAUAUUUUUUUUUUGUAGAAUCUAGGAAAACAGAUUUGAAAAAAUUAUACUUUUACUGGAAACAAACAGUACGCAAAAUACCAGAAAUAAUUUUCUAUGAAACCAAACAUCUUAAUGAUUAUCAUUAGAUCACAACAUUAUGGUCAUUCAUAUAACUCAAUGUUUGGUAAACUAUAAUACCUACUUAGGUCGUAGAUACCAUGAUUAUUACUGACAGCGAUUUUCGUUUUAUUGGCUACAGAUUUAGGUUUGGUAAGCUAACUUUGUCUGAUGGCACCUAUCCUCUAGCAUAUUAAUUGCCUAAUUAACUCCGACAUUAUAUUUGUUAGGCCAAAUAAUUAAAUUGUUGAAAAAAAAAAAAGUUUGAACUUAAUUAUUCACACCGAAAGCAAAACUAUAAUGAAAGGGAACGUAAGCAACUCGAUUUGGGUUCUUCGUUAGGACUUGACCUCCUAAAAGAGAUGCAUUCAGUCACAUAAAAACUUCGAAUCUUUGAAUAUGGAUCGAUUCGGUUGGAUUGUUGUACCCCGAAAGACUACAAUUUCAGCUAAUAAUCUGAAUUAUGGUCGAAACCUACGAAAAAGCUUUCCGAAAAAAAAAAAAUAUAUAAAUCUAGCUAACUACUUAAUUUGUUCUAGAAUUAAAAUUAUCGAAAAUUAUUAAAGCUACCUGUCCCUCCACCCUUCUCUUCGGGGAGUAUUUAUAAUCCUUGAAAUCCAAAUCCUAUAAAAUCUCGGCCGAAUUUCGAAAUCUUCUCUUACACUUAUUUCUUUUGUUAUAAUGAAUUACCGAGAUUGUUUGAUACAACGGCUUUAAUUUUUCCCUUCUGAUUUAAAUUUAUCUUCCAUUUUUAGGUAUAAGCAGUCCAUUUGGCCUAGAUUCUGAAAAAAUGAUUUCUAUAGGAUUGAUUUUGAUUUGAAAAUUUGAUUUUGGUUAAAAGUUGUAUAGUGUUUGACUAAGUUGAGAUAAAAGUAACUUUUUUGAAGUAAUUUUAUAAAACUAUUUGGAAAAAAAAAAAUUUAUAGUCAUGCACUUAUUAUACCCUAUAACUUUAAAAAUUAAUACAAAUAGGCCAAAAUGUUAGUAUUUUGAUUUAAAACAAGUGAUUUAAAACUUCUUUAUAUGCUCAUAUGUUUUAAAACUUCAAUUUGGCCUUUGGACUUUGUGGGCAGCCUACUGUCAAUGGGCCUUGCCUGGGAGCCCAAGCUUUGGUCUCUUUUCAUGUGGUGUUUAGUCCCACAUUGGAAAGAGACCCUCACUUGCUCUGGUUUAUAUUCUACUUUAUUCUCAUUGUUAUUACUUGGGAAGUGAUGAGAGUGGAGCUCUCGUCUAAAUACACGCACACGAGCACGAGCCGAGCCGGGCCGGGCGGCGGCGCGCGUGAACCCGGUUCACUUUAUUUUUGUUACACUUUUCAUUUUAUUAUUUUAUUUUUGACCUUACCUGGAUUAGGUCCAGAUUUGGUCCAGUCGAAGGGUCGCACCUCGGGACUCAACCAGCCCCAACGGUCUACCUCGGGAAGGUGGUCUUCCCGUUGGAACCCUUCUUUUGCUCUCCUAUUUACUAGGGUGAGUGGCUGGGUUAGGACAGUAGUGACAUACAGAAACCCUAGCCUGAGCUUCUCCCCCUUUCUCUCUUCUCCUUCUUCUUCACUGUUUUGCUGGAUCUCUGAAAAGCUGUGACGGUUCGUUCUUGCACCACCCUGAAGCCGUGCCGACGGGGUGGACGAAGGUCGUUGUAUCGCUAGGAGUGAUUGCCGGCGCCUCGUACGUGGAGGGGCAAUCUUGCUUCUAGGACAGUGCAAUCGCACGCCUCGACUCACAGGCUCCAUCUAAUCCUUUAUUCUCUAUAGUUUUUAUUUAUUUCGUUCUUAAUCAACGUUUCUAAAAACAGUGGAUAAGUUGUUUUCAAACAAAACUGUUUAUACAAAUAUUUGACUAAAGAUUUCAAAAGAGAACUAAUUUUUCCAACAUUCUAGAAGCAAGAUUUUAUUUUCUCUUUCUGUCUUCUUUAGUUUACUGCGUAGAAUACUAUUUUGGCUGUAGGAUAAUAUAUAUGUGCAUGAAACUGAUAUUGCUAUAAUUCGGAAUAUAUAAACCUAAAUAUAUGCAUGCUGUUUUUUUUUAGGUUUACUUGAAAUACUGCUGAUAAUUAAGAUUGUAAUACUGCUAAUAUAAAUAAAUAUAUAUAUAUAUAUUUAUCUGCAUGAUCAUACUGUUACUAAACAUUGUUUAGAAAAAUUUACUGUUAUAUCUGUAAAACUUGGAACAGUCUUGUGAUAUUAUUUUAGGAUUACUUGAAAACAGAUUUGUCAUUAUGGAGGACUCGUAUUCGGCGAAGCCGUUCACUUUCGAUGGUCGUAAUUUUAAGAGGUGGCAGAACCAAAUGAGGUUCUGGCUCACCACACUUGGGCUUGUGUCUGCUAUCUCGGAUCCUGUCGAGAAUAGCAAUGCACCUUCAGGUGCAAUCCAGCCUACGGGCAACCGACCGUUUACUAGGAGCCAAGCCCAAGCCGGAUCCGCUCUUCCCCCCUCUGAAAAUGCAACUGCACCUCCACCUAUAACUGUACCCCUUGUAGAUCCUAACGUGAUAAACUAUCAUUGCCUGAACCGGAUUCUUAGUACCCUAUCUGAUAAACUGUAUGACAUAUUCUGUAGUGCCCAAUCAGCUAGGGAACUUUGGACAUCCUUAGAAAAUAAGUAUGGUCAGGUUGAUCCUACUCAGAAGAGAUACCAAGCUUCAGAUUUGAUUAAAUUCAAAUUAGUGGAUAGUAAACCUAUGUCUGACCAGCUCCAUGAUUUUGAGUAUAUUGUUGAGCAGCUUAGAUCUAGUGGUAUAAAUCUUGAUGAGAGUUUUUUAGUAGCCACUCUUAUAGAUAAGUUGCCACCCUCCUGGUCUAACCAUGCAAAUGAUCUUAACCAUAACCAAAGAGAGCUUUCCCUGAAUUAUGUCCUAAGAUCCAUUAGGAUAGAAGAGUCGAACCGAGCCAAGGAUAAGAAACCUACUGAACCCACUACCCAAGCCAACCUAGUAGAGAAUCCUAAAAAUAAGGGUAGAAACUUUCAGCCUCAUAGGAACUUUAAGAAGAAGCCUUUCCAUCAUAGAAAGUUCAACCCAAACUUUAAGAAGCCUAAACCUGAUGGGAGUGGGAGCAACUCUGGUUGCUUUGUGUGCGGGAAGACCAACCACUUUGCGAAGGAUUGCUAUUUUCGCAAGACUCGGCCUUCUGCACCCAAGAAGAAGAAGAACGGUCCACCUGAGCGCCAGAUGAAUAUGUUGACUGCUGGACCUGACUCUUCUGUCCCUGCUAUCAGGUUAGGAUCUAGUUUAGCUGAAGUUAACCUUACCUUUAGUUCUUCUGAUUGGUGGAUAGAUACCGGAGCAAAUAUUCAUGCAUGUUCUGAUCGCUCUUGGUUUGCCACUUAUCAGGACUCAUGUGGAGGAUCGGUGAACAUGGGGAAUGCAGCCUCUUCUCGCGUGCUUGGGACCGGUCGAGUGGAUUUGAGACUGACUUCUGGGAAGACCCUAACCUUGCACGGAGUCCACCAUGUUCCCGAUAUUAGGAAGAAUUUGAUUAGUGGUUCUCUUUUAGUUCAGCAGGGUUUUAAGUUAGUUUUUGAAUGUAAUAGGGUAGUUAUUACUAAGGGUGUGGAUUUUGUAGGAAAGGGAUUUUUGAGUGAUGGUUUGUUUAAGUUAUCUGUAUCUCCUCCCCCUAUUAAUGAAAGUGCACUUGUUUUGAAUGUUGUUUCAACUGAUGUUUGGCAUGGAAGAUUGGGACAUGUGAAUUAUAAUACUGUUAAGAGAUUAAUGCAUCUAGAUUUGAUUCCUAAAUCUGAUUUGUCUAAUCGUAAAUGUGAAAUUUGUGUGCAGGCUAAGGAGCCUAGAAAACCUUUUAAAUCAGUAGAUAGAGAUUGUGAUAUGUUAGAACUUGUGCAUAGUGAUGUUUGUGAUGGAACUAGACCUACUAGAGGUGGAAAUAAAUAUUUUGUGACUUUCAUAGAUGAUCAUUCGAAGUAUUGUUAUGUUUAUUUGAUCAAGACAAAAGAUGAGGUUUUGAGCAGAUUUAAAAUUUAUAAAGCUGAAGUUGAAAAUCAAUUAGAUAAGAAAAUCAAGAUUUUGAGAUCUGAUCGAGGAGGUGAAUAUACUUCAAAUGAGAUGACUAUUUUCUGUCAAGAAUUUGGAAUUGUACAUCAAGUGACUGCACCUUAUACACCUCAAUCUAAUGGAGUUGCUGAACGCAAAAAUAGAACUUUGAUGGAUAUGGUAAAUUCGAUGAUUAUUAGUUCAGGUGCACCCGAGAACUUGUGGGGGGAAGCUUUGAUUUCUGCAUGUGUGAUUUUAAAUAGGAUUCCCCACAAGAAUUCUAAUAUUUCUCCUUAUGAGCUUUGGAAAGGUAGGAAGCCUAAUUUGAAUUAUUUUAAAGUGUGGGGGUGCCUAGCUAAAGUUAAGAUACCUGAGAACAAGAAAAGGAAGAUUGGUCCUAAGACUGUAGAUACAGUUUUUAUAGGCUAUGCUUUAGAUAGUAACACCAACAGAUUUCUAGUGGUGAAUUCUGAGAUUAGUGAGAUUUCUAAUAAUACCAUUAUUGAAGCUAGAGAUGCAGUGUAUUUUGAGGAUAUCUUUCCUUUUAGGACUAGAGUAGAUAGACCUACUCCAGUUGAGCAUGUAGGUAGCUCUAGUGGUCCUAGAGUUAGUGAGCCUACAGUAGAGGUUGAACCUAGGAGAAGUAAGCGUCCUAGAGUAGAGAAAACUUUUGGAGAUGAUUUUUGUGUCCUACUAGUUGAAGAUACUCCUUCUACCUUUGACCAAGCUAUGAAGUCUGUAGAUGCAUCUUUUUGGAAAGAGGCUAUUAAUCUUGAGAUGCAAUCUAUUCUACAGAAUCAUACUUGGGAAUUAACAGAUUUACCUAUAGGAUGUAAGCCUGUAGGCUGUAGAUGGAUCUUUAAGAAGAAGUUGAGACCUGAUGGUUCUGUAGAAAAGUAUAAGGCUAGACUAGUGGCUCAAGGUUUUGCACAGAAGCCAGGUGUAGAUUAUUUUGAUGUGUAUGCACCUGUUGCUAGAAUUACCUCUAUCAGGAUAUUGUUGGCCUUAGCUUCUGUCCACAGUUUGAUUGUGCAUCAGAUGGAUGUUAAGACAGCUUUUCUGAAUGGUGAUUUAGAUGAGGAGAUCUAUAUGAAGCAACCUGAAGGAUUUGUAGUUUCUGGACAUGAAAAUAAAGUGUGCAAAUUGACGAGAUCUUUAUAUGGACUUAAACAAGCUCCUAAGCAGUGGCACUUGAAAUUUGAUUCUUUAGUUGUAUCAAAUGGAUUUCAUGUAAACAUGUCUGAUGAAUGUGUAUAUUCAAAGGAAUAUGAUGGACAGAUUGUGAUCCUGUGUUUAUAUGUUGAUGAUAUUUUGAUUUUUGGUACCAAUAUAAAUGUGAUACAUGAUGUGAAGAAAUUACUGAAUGAGAAUUUUGAUAUGAAAGAUCUUGGGCAAGCAGAUGUAAUUCUCAAUAUGAAGAUCAUUAGAGAAUCAAAAGAAAUUGUUAUGAGCCAAUCACACUAUAGUGAACAGUUAUUGAAGAAGUUUGGAUAUUUUGAUGUUAAACCUGUAGUGACACCUUAUGAUUCUAGUGUACAUCUUAAGAAGAAUAGAGGUGAUCCAAUUGGUCAGAAUAGAUAUGCACAGAUUAUAGGAUCUUUGGGAUAUCUAGUAGACUAUACUAGACCUGAUUUGGCUUAUGCUGUAAACAGAUUGAGAAGAUAUACCCAUAAUCCGAAUAGAGAUCAUUGGAAUGCUUUAGAAAGAGUUUUGAGGUAUCUAAAGGGAACUAUAUCUUAUGGAUUACAUUACAGUGGCUUUCCUGCAGUACUAGAAGGAUAUAGUGAUGCAAAUUGGAUUAGUGAUACAGCUGAUGUAAAGUCUACUACUGGAUUUGUUUUUCUCCUAGGAGGAGCAGCUGUUUCUUGGAAGUCAACCAAACAAUCUUUGAUUGCUAGAAGUACUAUGGAAUCUGAACUUAUAGCAUUAGAUACCACUGUAAAAGAGGCUAAGUGGAUAAGAGAAUUUCUUUAUGAUUUGCCACUGAUGGAGCGACCUUUAGCACCAGUGUGUAUUCAUUGUGAUUGUAGAUCUGCAAUUGAUAAAUGUGCCCAAGAGAAUGUGGAGACUAAGAUGAAUAGAUUUAUGAAAGUGAGACAUAAGUUCAUUCGACAGAAUAUGAAGGAGAAUGUAAUUGCUUUGGAAUUUGUGAGAUCUGCAAAGAAUCUGGCUGAUCAGCUCACCAAGGGAUUGUCUAGGACUGUGAUCCUAGAAUCGUCGAGGGGGAUGGGGCUUAGCCCACAAUGAAAGUUACCGGCGACGGCAACCCAACCUGUUGCAGGUUCAAUGGGUAGAAACAAGUCGAACAGGUAGCUGUGAGGAGCACUGUUUUUGUAUCCUCAUCCCUAUGGCGACAGUGCUCAU
rnacentral:lncRNA from 1 species